rnacentral:lncRNA from 1 species
ACGAAGCUGAUGCUGACAGCCUUGCUGCUUGGAGCCUGUUUCCAGUGUGUCACCUUUGUCACCUUUACCUUGUGGGGUUGUGCAAAAGACUGCAACGAGUUUAUGCUGUGUAGUGUCUUUUGGUCACAACUUUCCUCGGUGGGGGACGUUGUCGUGCACAUUGACCUUGCUGUUUGCCAUGGGCUCUUUGCCGCUGCUGCUUGGAGCUUGUUCCAGUGCGUCACCUUUACCUUGUGGGGUUGUGCAAAAAACUGCAGCGAGUUUAUGCUGUGUAGUGUCUUUUGGUCAUAACUUUCCUCGAUGAGGGACGUUGCCGUGCACAUUGACCUUGCUGCUUGCCAUGGGCUCUUUGCCGCUGCUGCUUGGAGCUUGUUCCAGUGCGUCACCUUCACCUUGUGGGGUUGUGCAAAAGACUGCAGCGAGUUUAUGCUGUGUAGUGUCUUUUGGUCACGACUUUCCUCGGUGGUGACGUUGGCGUAAUGCUCACCUUUGUAAUACGACUUUGUAACCAAAUCAAUCCUUUAAAGAAAUAAAGUAUUCAUAUCUUGAAUUUUGCUUUUUAUUCUUCAAAGUGUUUGUGUUUUUGAUGAUGAUGUGACUGUACUUGAAGUUUUGAAGUUUCAAGUUGCCUACGUACUCUUCCAAAGAAGAGAUCAAGUCAUAACGUAGUUCAAAUGAGUGAUGAAUUUAACAGUGAUUUUGAUGAUGAUUUUGAUGAUGAUUUUGACAAUGAUUUUGAUGGUGAUUUUGAUGAUGAUUUUGACAAUGAUUUUGAUGGUGAUUUUGCCGUACACAGUUUAUGCUCUUGCGGGC